GCUAAUCAAAAUGGUACAAUCCGUAUCACAACCUUAUCAGCUUAUCUUUUGCACUCGACGUGCCAUUUCGCUCCGUCGAACAAAGCGUCGCAGUGUUUCGCCUACCUGUGUUCAACAUGUUUCCUCCUUAAUAUAUUUUCACUUAAUAUAAUUCUGCAACAGGUUGAAUACGUCUAUACUGAAUAAUGUGUUAAGAAGUAGUGUGAUAUUUACACAAUGUAAUAAGUGAUUCAGAUCUGUUUGUGUUCGGUUCUUGAAAAUUGUAGCUGUGGACGGAAUCAAUUUCUGUGAUUUAGUUUUACAUCGCAAAAUUGUGUUUAAAAUCGUUUUUGUUGCUGUUAAGUAAAGUCUAAGUGUCAAAGUUUGAGGAAAUUAUUUUAGGAUGACGUAAUAUUGUGUAUAAAAAAUGAAAGACAAGAGACUUGAAGUGAAACUGAGCGUCCGCGGCGACGGCUCGCUCAGUAGGAACAGUUUGAGAAGCAGCACCAGAAGCGAUCGAAGUAAUUUGAGCAACAACAGUGGACUGCCCGUUAGCGAAAUAUUCGCCACAGAUCGAUUCUCAGCACCACACAGCAGACCUUUCGAUACACUCGAUAAGUACCGCCGGCAACCGAAUCAACGCAGCUAUAUA